rnacentral:lncRNA from 1 species
GGGGGGGUGUGUGUAAGACAACUAGUGGAAUAAGACCACUUUUGUUGUUGGAUGUAAAAUUGCUAGCCAAAUCAGAAUCUUCAUUGUGGGGACAAUGCAUAAGCAGGAAGCAAUCAGCAACACAGAUAGCAAAAGGGACUUUAUUGGAUCUUCUGUCCAGUUUUCAUGCUUACAAGAGAAAAUUCCAUGCUUGUUGAUUGUUUGGUGAGAGAGAUGAAAUUAAUAAUUACUAAGAAGAAAAGCCAGCUCCAUCUUGUGUGUUUUCAACUGUGCUGGAGUCAAGAGAAACGGUCAUAAUAGAUAAAAAAAAAACUCAAGGAGUUUUGCAGGUUGAAAGGGUGGGGGAGAAGGUGCAUUAAAUCACACAAAACUGCUACUUCUGAAUAUGUGGAAAUGUAGGUGAAGGCAUUAAAUACGAUAGUUAAUGCUUUUUGAUAUUUUC